ACAACCCCCGUGGGCAUCGAACCUUUGGAUCUGACACACUGAAUGAAGAGGAAUUGUCUUGGGCUGCAUAUGAAAUGUUUAAAAUAAUUAAUGCAUAUAAGUAAUAAAGGUGCUUUUACUUUUAUAUUUUUAAUUAAGAUGUAGGGGGGUAAAAAAAAAAGAGGAUAACAAAAACAUAAAACUAACAGAUUGGACAUCUAUAUGACUAUUGGUUAGGGAUGCAUGGACUUGAAACUUCCCAACUUUAGAGAAUCUAGAUCAAAUCUUCUGCAUCAUCAGCCUAUACAUUAAUUGCUACAUUGUUAUGUAGAGGUUUGAUCCCCAUAAGAAUAAUUUUUGCCUGGAAUUAAGCUCAGGUAGGCCCAUCACUCUUCUCACAAAGCACCUUAAAUGAAGAUGAAGCUGUCUCUCAAUGACAAAUAUCAACACCACCAAGACACUCAUCUGAAUAGAUAAGAUAGUUACGUAUUAUCUCUACACUAGGUAUCAGGUAAUAAGAGACACAUUUUCCACAGCUUUUCUCCACAGUCGAGUGAUUUUUCAGUAGCUAUGCACAAUGCGGUACUCCAUCACAAAACCCAAUGGCUUUUCAAACCCAGUGGUUUGAAUCCCUUCUGAUGAGCCAACUUGCACUUCGAUAUGCACUUGCUCUUUGAAAGAAAGUCUUUGCAAAAGAUUGAGGGAGCAGCGGAUGGGAAAGGCUUCAAUGUCCUCUGUGAGAAUAGAGUUGGAACGUGACUGGAUCAAGAAGAACCACGGGACAGGGACCUCAUGACAGAGACUUAUAGAACUAUUGGAGCCCGAGAGCCCUAAGAGAACUUAAAUGCUGAUCUGCAAUCAGGAUUUUGAAAAAAAAAUCCUAUUUUCAACUCUAGAAAUGUCAACAUCUAGAAAUCUGCACUGAUGGGAAUCCAAUUUCUGUGAAAGAUAUGGAGAAGCUCCAAGAAUCUGUGUUUGGGAUUUAAGUACCUUUUCAGGCUUUGUCCAUUCCUUUUUUAUCUCUGACACAGACAUUAUUCACAGCUUGCAGAUUUUUACAGCAAAAGUGGCAUAGUCUACUAUGUACAGUCAAUAAAAAUUCUAUCAGAACUACA
rnacentral:lncRNA from 1 species